UACAGAGGUGCCAAGCGUUGUUCGGAUUUAUUGGGCGUAAAGGGUGCGUAGGCGGUGAUACAAGUCGGGUGUGAAAUUCCGGAGCCUAACUCCGGAACUGCAUUCGAAACUGCAUCGCUCGAGGUCUGGAGAGGUAAUUGGAAUUCUAGGUGUAGCAGUGAAAUGCGUAGAUAUCUAGAGGAACACCAGAGGCGAAAGCGAAUUACUGGACAGAACCUGACGCUGAGGCACGAAAGCUAGGGUAGCAAACGGG
rnacentral:rRNA from 1 species